CUGACACUGCCCGAUCGCCUCGGAAGUCCCCUAGAACAUCACGGAUGCCAAGGUUCAGGCACUCUCUAAUCAGAUAUCCUGAGUCGUCCCACUUCUUAGCCCUUUUAUACCUGUUUUUCUCCUUCUGUUAUUCCAUUUAGUUUCUCAAUUCAUCCAAAACCAUAUCCAGGCCAUCACCAAUCAUUCUAUACGACAAAUGUUUCUUCUAACAUCCCCACAAUAUCACCCCUUACCAAAAGACCUGCCUUUGGCUUAAUCUCUCCCACUCU
rnacentral:lncRNA from 10 species